AGGGAUUUUGAGCAUAUCUGCAGCGCUAUUUUGUAUUGCUCCUCAUUGCAGGUGUGCAACUCGGAACUUUGCAUCCUUGUUGUGGACCUCCGGCUCCCUGAUUCGGGCCACGACUCUUGGUUGUGGCAGCAUAAUCCACUGUGUACGCGCCUCGCCACACAACUGCAGCCUGGCGAGUCUCUGCUUGGUGGCCAGCUACGACUAGUGCCAGGGAGCGCACCUUCUCCAGUAUGCCCUCCUGAGCCGCUGCCGUCCUCUCUGCCGCGAUGGCGAGCCGGGUGGUGGAUUGUUCGAUCCUUCGCAGCACCUGAAAUGAAUAAUUGUGGUGGAAUUGUUCAUAUGUGUUGCUGAUUACUCGCAACCAGCUCAUCGCUGUAAGCUGUUGUUGUCAAGAAUUGCAACGUGCACAACAAUUGCCCACCUCCCUCGCUGUAGCCACUGUAGUGUCUAUCCUCCUAACACAUCACAUAUCCUAUGGCAAUGCCAUCCAAAACUACCCCCCUUACCCAAACCUUCAUCCCUCCCAUCUACCCCUUCCUCCGAGUGGCUGACCGCCGCAACCACCCUUCACGACCAACGAUUCCUUGGGGACUUCAUCGGCCUAGCGCUGAAGCAUGCCGCAAGCGACGCCCUGGACUCAGGGCACUGAUGCAUUUUUUAUCGCAGAAUAAAAAAAAGUGAUUUC